rnacentral:pre_miRNA from 1 species
UAGUAAUAAGAAUGAUGAUGGUGAUGAUGAUGCUGAUAAUAAUUCUUUGUACGAUAGACACAAGGCCUGAAAUUAUCAUCAUCAUCAUCAUCAUCAUCAUCAUAAUCA